AUUGAACGCUGGCGGCAGGCCUAACACAUGCAAGUCGAGCGGAGCGGCGGACGGGUGAGUAAUGCCAAGGAAUCUGCCUGGGCGUGGGGGAUAACGUCCGGAAACGGGCGCUAAUACCGCAUCCUAUUAGCAGAGCAUAGGCCGGAGUAGCUAGUUGGUGGGGUAAAGGCCUACAAAGGCGACGAUCCUUAACUGGUCUGAGAGGAUGAUCAGUCACACUGGAACUGAGACACGGUCCAGACUCCUACGGGAGGCAGCAGUGGGGAAUAUUGGACAAUGGGCGAAAGCCGGAUCCAGCCAUGCCGCGUGUGUGAAGAAGGGCUUCGGAUUGUAAAGCACUUUAAGUUGGGAGGCGUUACCAACAGAAUAAGCACCGGCUAACUUCGUGCCAGCCGCCGCGGUAAUAC
rnacentral:rRNA from 1 species